rnacentral:rRNA from 1 species
AGGUUGAUCCUGGCUCAGGACGAAAGCUGGUUGACCGCCUAACGCUUGCCAGUCAAACCAAAGAGAUGGAACUUGCUUCCUCAAACUAGUGGCCAACGGGUGAAUAACACAUGAUGAACCUGCAUCUGAUAGGGGGACAACAUUUGGAAACCACUGCUAAUACCGCAUAGAACCCACUGUGGGCAUCAACCAAAGGGAAAAGGAACAAUCCGCUUUGAUAUGGCCUCUCGUCCGAUUAGCUAGUUGGUGAGGUAACGGCCCACCAAGGCAACGAUUCGUAGCCGGACUGAGAGGUUAAACGGCCACAUUGGGAAUGAGACCCGGCCCAGACUUCUUCGGGAGGCAGCCGUGGGGAAUAUUGCACAAUGGGGGAAACCCUGAUGCAGCGACGCCGCGUGGAGGAAGAAGGUUUUUGGAUUGUAAACUCUUGUUGUUGAGGAAGAUAAUGACGGUAUUCAACAAGGAAGUGACGGCUAACUACGUGCCAGCAGCCGCGGUAAAACGUAGGUCACAAGCGUUGUCCGGAAUUACUGGGUGUAAAGGGAGCGCAGGCGGGAAGUCAAGUCGGAAGUGAAAUCUAUGGGCUCAACCCAUAAACUGCUUUCAAAACUGUCUUUUUGAGUAGUGCAGAGGUAGGCGGAAUUCCCGGUGUAGCGGUGGAAUGCGUAGAUAUCGGGAGGAACACCAGUGGCGAAGGCGGCCUACUGGGCACCAACUGACGCUGAGGCUCGAAAGUGUGGGUAGCAAACAGGAUUAGAUACCCUGGUAGUCCACACCGUAAACGAUGAUUACUAGGUGUUGGAGGAUUGACCCCCUCAGUGCAGCAGUUAACCACAACAAGAUAAUCCACACUGGGGAGUACGACCGCAAGGUUGAAACUCAAAGGAAUAGAUGGGGACCCGCACAAGCAGUGGAGUAUGCGGUCAAAUUUGAUCGCUACGCGAAGAGCCUUACUAAGUAUUCACAUCUGCGUCAGAUGCUGGAAACAGUUUCUAUCGUUCGGGACGCAGAGACAGAGUGGUGCAUGGUUGUCGUCAGUUGGAGUCGUGAGAGGUGUGGAGAAGUCACGCAACGAGUGCACACCCUCAGUCUCAGUUAUUAUGCAAGAGGAGUGUGGCAGGUACCCCCGCCGACAAAAUGGUAGGAAGGUGGGGACGUCGUCAAAUGAUCAUAUCCCUUUAAUCAGUGGGAUACACUCGUGAUACAAUGGCGGGAAACAAAGAUAAGCAAGACCGGGAGGCGGAGUAAAAGUCAGAAACAACGUCCCAGU